rnacentral:lncRNA from 1 species
UCAAUUCGAUUUAUGUACCUGCCCUUUUCUAUUCCUUCAGUCUCCCAGCUCUUCUCUCUACAUUCCUCCAAAGUGAGAAAUGGAUAGAUAUGUAUAAUGUUUAUGCUUAUCAAUUACCAUCAUUUCCACUAAUCAUACCUAUUCAAGAACUCAAUUAAAAACUCUAGGAUUUACCAAAAUUAGUAUUUCUUACCUUGAUACAAAGAUCUUUCACAAAUCUGCUUGAAAUCAUACUGUUUCCAUCAAUCCGAAAAUGGAACUAUCAAAUUUGCCCAACUACUUAGAAGCCUAGAAAAUUUUAUAUGAAUUAUACCACAAAAUAUUUACCUCUUUCCUCUCUAAAAAUUGAAGAAAUUGAAUAAUGGAACUCAAGAUUUUCUUCACCCUUUUUUCUUUAUCUUCUCUUUUCUCUUUUCUCUUUUCUUUCUCCUUUUUUCUCUCUCUCGGUCUCUCUCAAUUUUUCCGGUUUCUUCUCUCCCAGCCAUUUCUUCUUGUGUGUGUAUGUAAAGAAUUGGAAGAAAUGGUUUAUAACAUGACACUUGUAUUCCACUAACCCCAAAUUUUGCCAUUCAAGUCCUUCAACAUUAAUAUAUCUUAACAUUAAAUCUUUUACUUCCAAAAAUAGAAAAAUAAAUCCC